GAAACAACUCUCGGCAACGGAUAUCUCGGCUCUCGCAUCGAUGAAGAACGUAGCAAACUGCGAUACUUGGUGUGAAUUGCAGAAUCCCGUGAACCAUCGAGUCUUUGAACGCAAGUUGCGCCCGAAGCCAUUAGGCCGAGGGCACGUCUGCCUGGGCGUCACGC
rnacentral:rRNA from 1 species